AUGCACGCUGGCGGCGUGCCUAAUCCAUGCCAGUCGAGCGAACGGACGAGAAGCUUGCUUCUCUGAUAUUAGCGGCGGACGGGUGAGUAACACGUGGAUAACCUACCUAUAAGACUGGGAUAACUUCGGGAAACCGGAGCUAAUACCGGAUAAUAUUUUGAACCGCAUGGUUCAAAAGUGAAAGACGGUCUUGCUGUCACUUAUAGAUGGAUCCGCGCUGCAUUAGCUAGUUGGUAAGGUAACGGCUUACCAAGGCAACGAUGCAUAGCCGACCUGAGAGGGUGAUCGGCCACACUGGAACUGAGACACGGUCCAGACUCCUACGGGAGGCAGCAGUAGGGAAUCUUCCGCAAUGGGCGAAAGCCUGACGGAGCAACGCCGCGUGAGUGAUGAAGGUCUUCGGAUCGUAAAACUCUGUUAUUAGGGAAGAACAUAUGUGUAAGUAACUGUGCACAUCUUGACGGUACCUAAUCAGAAAGCCACGGCUAACUACGUG
rnacentral:rRNA from 1 species